GUUCUUAUGGAUCUCGUAAUUGGAAUGAGUACAAUUUAAAUCUCUUAACGAGGAACAAUUGGAGGGCAAGUCUGGUGCCAGCAGCCGCGGUAAUUCCAGCUCCAAUAGCGUAUAUUAAAGUUGUUGCAGUUAAAAAGCUCGUAGUUGAAUUUCGGGAUCAAUUUAUCGGUCGUGCCAAUGGUAUGAACUGGUACAAUUGGUUUCUCCCUUCUGACGAAGCAUGAUGUCAUUAAUUUGGUGUCGUGGGGAAUCAGGACUGUUACUUUGAAAAAAUUAGAGUGUUUAAAGCAAGCAUUAGCUUGAAUACAUUAGCAUGGAAUAAUGAAAUAGGACGUUUGAUCCUAUUUCGUUGGUUUCUAGGAUCGACGUAAUGAUUAAUAGGGAUAGUUGGGGGCAUUAGUAUUCAAUUGUCAGAGGUGAAAUUCUUGGAUUUAUUGAAGACUAACUACUGCGAAAGCAUUUGCCAAGGAUGUUUUCAUUAAUCAAGAACGAAAGUUAGGGGAUCGAAGACGAUCAGAUACCGUCGUAGUCUUAACCAUAAACUAUGCCGACUAGGGAUCGGAUGAUGUUAAUUUUUUAAUGACCCAUUCGGCGCCUUACGGGAAACCAAAGUGUUUGGGUUCCGGGGGGAGUAUGGUCGCAAGGCUGAAACUUAAAGGAAUUGACGGAAGGGCACCACCAGGGGUGGAGCCUGCGGCUUAAUUUGACCCAACACGGGGAAACUCACCAGGUCCAGACAUAGUAAGGAUUGACAGAUUGAGAGCUCUUUCUUGAUUCUAUGGGUGGUGGUGCAUGGCCGUUCUUAGUUGGUGGAGUGAUUUGUCUGGUUAAUUCCGAUAACGAACGAGACCUUAACCUGCUAAAUAGCUAGGCUUAGCAUUGCUAGGUCGUCAGCUUCUUAGAGGGACUAUCGGUGUUUAACCGAUGGAAGUUUGAGGCAAUAACAGGUCUUGGUGCCCUUAGAUGUUCUGGGCCGCACGCGCGCUACACUGAUGAAGUCAACGAGUUCACUCCCUUUGUCGGAAGACAUGGGUAAUCUUUUGAAACUUCAUCGUGCUGGGGAUAGAGCAUUGCAAUUAUUGCUCUUAAACGAGGAAUCCCUAGUAAGUACAAGUCAUCAGCUUGUGCUGAUUACGUCCCUGCCCUUUGUACACACCGCCCGUCGCUACUACCGAUUGAAUGGCUUAGUGAGGGCUUCGGACUGAGCUUCGGAAGCUGCAAAAGGCAUCCGAUUUUUAAAAAGUUGUUCAAACUUGGUCAUUUAGAGGAAGUAAAAGUU
rnacentral:rRNA from 1 species